CCGUUUCAAUCAGAUUAGAUAAAGAGGAGGGAGGGUCUGCUCUAUAGAAACUACUGGCUGGGACUUCCCUCUCUUUGCCGCUAAUAGAUGUAAUUAGAUCAUGGUCACUAGGCAACCAUCAACUUCCAGAAGAGGAUUUGGGUUAUUUUUAUUUAUACUGCAGCAGCCCUUGCAGCCGCCACUGUCCAAACACAAGCAGCAGACAGAUCUGCCCUUGAGUCACAAGACAAGGAAGCCUGGACGUAGGCUGCGAACCACAAGCCCAGUGGCCAGGCUGAGAGAAGCCGACGCCGAACUCAAGGUGAUCAGCAGCACCUAUGCACACUCCCUUAAUCUUACUGAAUUUUAAAAAGCUUACCCUUUGCUUCUGUGGAUUUAGUUACUUCAAAUCAUGUUUGCUGUCACCAUCUUCUGUUCACAAAACUAAUUCUCUGAUCCAUGUUGGCAGAAGCCCUUUAGAUGCAGAUUUCUCCAUUCUGCGUGUGCACCCUCUCCUCCACUCCUCCAGAUGCUGCAGAGGGCUCUGUAACGUCAGCACUAAGGGAUCAAGCAACCUUGUUGAAACUCUUCUGGUUCUGUCUUGAUAGAACUACUGCAACUUGUCAUUAUGUGAACUAUCUUUCCACCUGGAGCAAUAAACAUGUCAGUAUAUAAUGUGA